GGGCCGUGUUUCAGCACCUGGAUGGAGUGGGGGGAGAAGAAUUAGCAAGAGGAGGCUGUGGAUCUUCAGGUUUGGAAUCCGAUCCGAGAUGAAAACAAGGAGCAUCAAAAAUGCCCUGGUGUAUCGCUGACUUUAAAAGAAUGUGCAUUCUUCCCCAUUCCUUCUACGACAUCACGGUAAUGGGUCCAACAUGAUGGCAGAUGUCCAUCCAUAGCCAAGAUAUGGAAACAACCUAAGUGCCCAUGGACAGAGGAGUGGAUAAAGAAGAUGUGGUGCUUUUGGCAGAGCGCCAAGGGUUCCCAGGAGGAGGCCUUUCUCUGGGCAGCGGGCCGGCCGGCUCUCCCUCCUCUGUGCAGAGGGCAAUGUGGAUUGAGCUGAAAAGUACCUUCCAAAAGUGAGCAAGGGAUUAGGCUGCUGCUUCAAAACCGUGAAAUUAUCCGGAAUGUGUUUUACAAAUGGUUUUGCUCCACCACCACCAGCGAAAAAGGUAAUUACGAAAUGCGUGCCUCGCAGGCCUUAAAGACACGCGGCAUCGCGCUCGGUCCCCUCCGACGUCCCUCUCAGCGGCGCUCAGCCUCGGGCCCGCGGGCAUCUCCCGGGGCGGGGGCCGGUCGGGGUCGAGGGCACAGGGCGGGGGUGGGAGAGGCGGCGCAGGAGGCCGCGGCCUCCGGUCGAGCUCAGCCCUCGGGCCGAAGGGGGCCUCGGCAGGGGCGGGCGGGCCUCGGGCCCUCGGAGGCGCAGGCAGGGGCAGCGGCAGGGCGGGCCGGGCCCCGCUCCGCAUUGGGGUCAAGCAGAGCCCGGUCCGGCAUCCCGCGUGUGCAGAGGUGUCCUCUUUGGUCCUUUUCGGGGUCUCUUCCCAGUCGUCCCGCGUCCCUUGCGGCUCGGCCACCCGUCUCUCGGCAGACGCCGCCUCCUGCACCUGCGCAGCAAGACUCCUUCUCUCUUCCCCGGAGCUGUGUCCUUCUCGAGGGCGCUUUUCUUCGGCAGCGCUCAGACCUCAGACCCUUCGGCCUCGGGCCCCUCAGCCUGAUCUGCUCCUCCCGCUCUGGGCAACGGGCCGCCGCCCGCUCAGCUCGCUCCUCGGUGCUUCCAAGUCCCCCUCAAUAACUUAGGGGCCCGUCUUCGUGGUUCCCGGCCGCCUCUUCGGCCGUGUGCUUGGCUUCUUGGAGUGGACGUCCUGGCGUUGUCCCAUUUCUUCCUCAUCUCUUAAGGCUCGGUUUCGGUAACUUUCGGACCCCUCUCGCGCUCAUCAGCAGCUUUCUCAGCUUCCUGCCGCGUUUGCAGGGCAGUGGCCAGGCGCUCCUGAGCGCGGCCCAGCUCCUCUGCAGCCAGUUGCCUCCUACGGUUCAAGGAGGCCACCUCAGCCCCGGCCUGUUCCCGGCUCGCCUUUCUCCCUCCACUGCCCGCUGGAGGCGCUGGGCCCUCUCCCCCGCAUCAUCCGGCUGCUGCCGCUGCGGACCCUGGAUCUCUGGCUGCACGGCCUGGAUGGGGGUGAUUCUGGCCAUGGCAUCCCCAGCUCCUGCUGUGCCCUCGGGUUCCUGCCUCCUCUGCGCCGGGCUGCCCCUGCUUCCCACCCAUGCUUCCACCUGCUCCGCCCUCAACCAGAGGGCUUCAAACCCAUCUGCGUCAGUUUGGUGGUGCAUAACUAUUAGAUUCUUUUAUUAAAUACUGGUAGCCACCAACAUCAAAACUCUGAUGGUUAGCUAAUUCUCCACAGUCUGGUGGUUCUGUCUUGCUAUUUUUUUUUUUUUUCUUUUGGCUGUGCCCUCAGCAUGGGAAGUUUCUGGGCCGGGGAUUGAACCUGUGCCACAGCCGUGGCUUGAGCCACAGCAAGGACAAUGCUGGAUCCUUAACCCACUAGGCCAUCAGGGAACUCCUCCAGAAUCUGGUUUUAAAGCAGUGUUUCAGAACAAAUUCUGACACCCACACAAAUAUUUAUUCGAUAAACACUUUUAGCAAAGCAGGCACACAAAUCACCAUGUAACUCAGUCUGCAAGUUCCACGGGGACCUAGCUCUCUGUUCUCUGAGUGCUCUGCAAACACCUUGACUGAGGGCCCAUUUGAAGCAAAUGUAGCCGCAGACCAAAGAUAGAAGUUAGGUGACCUGAUAAUUGGCGAGAGAAAAGCCUUUAAAGUUGGGCCUGGCAACAUACUGCAGGUGCCAUCCUGAGGGCUUUGCCAGUUCAUGCAAAGACCAGGCGUUCCUAAAUAACUAACUGUAUACCUCAAAUGCCACUUAUUUAACUAAUUUAGCCAUUUCUAACUGUCUUUGCCCUAAUCAUGAAGCCAGUAAUUUCACCAACACAAAUCGAUUUCAAUACUCAGUAUGUAAAUUAGCACAGGGUCUCGUUUGGAUUGAAGAUAAAGAGGGCUGUAGCCUCGGGAUAGCUGUGGCCUUUUGGAUGAAAUGCUGGCUGACCCCCUUUGAGUGUGAACUCCUGAUUAGGAUAAGUGACAGCCCGAGGGUGUGGAUUAAAAUUAACACGUAAUCCAUGUACGUCAUGCUGUCUGGGUUACUGUAUUUCUAAGCAAAUUAUAGACAACGCAGGGCUUCAAGAUACACGCAGUUUCAAUACCAUUUUAGUUCCUUCCGAAUAGUAGCAAAGCUCAGGAAGAGCUUUGGAAGGAUGGAGUUUGACCCCUCCCUGAAAUUAUCUGUAUUAAAUAUACUCCUUAAUGACAACUCUAUUAAGAUAGGAAAAAUGUCAUUUUAAAGUUAUUUGCUUAUCUAUCCUUUACUUCUCUGUUGAAGCUCGCAGGCCUAGGAGAAAGGCAGAAUUCUUCUUAGGGUACAAACGUCUCUGUUUUAGAAUAAAAUAGCUUACUUGACACUCCGAGUCUGUAGGGAUAACCUGGAAAGUUAGGAUGGAGGCCAGUAGACAACUAAACUAGCCGGCGUUAUAAAGUAAUGGGAAUUCUCCCCCGAUAAAAUGAGUCCUCAGGAGGCUCCAAGAUUGAGUGGGAGUUGGGGGCAGAGGAGGAGAGAUGGAGAA
rnacentral:lncRNA from 1 species